AGAUCCCCCGACCGAAGCAUCACCAUCAAACAAGCGGGUGACAACAGACGACCACGACGUCAUGUAAACAGACCAGUAGAAAACAGCUGAAGGACUGAUGGACAGAGUGGAGGGGAGUCCUCCCUCUCUCGGAGAUCCGGACCACUGUUAACCAAUAGAAAGGACGUGCUGAGGACCGACCGAUCACAGCCUGAAGGUUAGGUUACCGGGAGGCCAGAAGGAUUGUGAUGUGUCGCAAGGCCAGAAGAAGAGGCGGCAAGGUGGGGGUCCUUGGCCCUCUGUGAGAUCUGAAGUCUGGAGCCAAAGGCCAGGUUCACACCUGGCGCUGACGUACGUCCUG
ensembl:lncRNA